rnacentral:rRNA from 1 species
AUUGAACGCUGGCGGCAUGCUUUACACAUGCAAGUCGAACGGCAGCGCGGGCUUCGGCCUGGCGGCGAGUGGCGAACGGGUGAGUAAUGCAUCGGAACGUGCCCAGUAGUGGGGGAUAGCCCGGCGAAAGCCGGAUUAAUACCGCAUACGACCUGAGGGUGAAAGCGGGGGACCGAAAGGCCUCGCGCUAUUGGAGCGGCCGAUGUCGGAUUAGCUAGUUGGUGGGGUAAAGGCUUACCAAGGCGACGAUCCGUAGCUGGUCUGAGAGGACGACCAGCCACACUGGGACUGAGACACGGCCCAGACUCCUAAGGGAGGCAGCAGUGGGGAAUUUUGGACAAUGGGGGCAAACCUGAUCCAGCCAAGCCGCGUGCGGGAAGAAGGCCUUCGGGUUGUAAAACGCUUUUGUUCGGGAAGAAAUCCUCUGGGCUAAUACCCCGGGGGGAUGACGGUACCGGAAGAAUAAGCACCGGCUAACUACGUG